rnacentral:misc_RNA from 1 species
CAAAUAUUCAAUUGCCAUUUUAUCCAGUUGAAGGAAAUUAAAAUUAUAUACGUGACACACACAUUACUUGCUAUAAAUAAAAUUACAAAAAUUGUAGAAAGACAAAACAUUACAAGAUUAUAUGUAUGAUAGUUUCUUGCUUUGAUGGCUAAACAACUACAAAAUGGUUUUAAUUUAUUUGAAUAUAUAUAUAAAAUCAUCAUAUUCAUAUCUACACACCAACAUAAGGUGUGGCACAUUGGGUGGUACUAGAUACCUUUCGACAUGUAUAUGGAGGAAUAUGCAAUUCCCCCCUCUCUGAAUAUUUCUUCCUUUUCUUGGCAUCUGGGUGUUCUUUUUUCUUCAAAUCUUCAACACACUGAACAUCUGCCAUGCACGUAAAUGAUCUUGAUUUCCCUGAGUAGUACCUUGACAACCCUCUCCUGCAUAUUAAAAAGAAAAAAUAAAAAUCUUGUAUCUUGAUGACAUCAUAUAAAAAGGGGAAAAAAGAAAUGAAAGAAUUUGAUUGUAUCCUUUACUUCUUUGGAAGAUUGUUUCGCAGCGAAUCCAUGUCGAAGGCCAUUGUUUCAGCUGGAUUCUCCAUUUCUGAGAGAGAGAGAGAG